GAGGAAUAUUGGUCAAUGGACGAGAGUCUGAACCAGCCAAGUAGCGUGAAGGAUGACUGCCCUAUGGGUUGUAAACUUCUUUUAUACGGGAAUAAAGUGAGGCACGUGUGCCUUUUUGUAUGUACCGUAUGAAUAAGGAUCGGCUAACUCCGUGCCAGCAGCCGCGGUAAUACGGAGGAUCCGAGCGUUAUCCGGAUUUAUUGGGUUUAAAGGGAGCGUAGGCGGACGCUUAAGUCAGUUGUGAAAGUUUGCGGCUCAACCGUAAAAUUGCAGUUGAUACUGGGUGUCUUGAGUACAGUAGAGGCAGGCGGAAUUCGUGGUGUAGCGGUGAAAUGCUUAGAUAUCACGAAGAACUCCGAUUGCGAAGGCAGCUUGCUGGACUGUAACUGACGCUGAUGCUCGAAAGUGUGGGUAUCAAACAGGAUUAGAUACCCUGGUAGUCCACACAGUAAACGAUGAAUACUCGCUGUUUGCGAUAUACAGUAAGCGGCCAAGCGAAAGCGUUAAGUAUUCCACCUGGGGAGUACGCCGGCAACGGUGAAACUCAAAGGAAUUGACGGGGGCCCGCACAAGCGGAGGAACAUGUGGUUUAAUUCGAUGAUACGCGAGGAACCUUACCCGGGCUUGAAUUGCAACUGAAUGAUGUGGAGACAUGUCAGCCGCAAGGCAGUUGUGAAGGUGCUGCAUGGUUGUCGUCAGCUCGUGCCGUGAGGUGUCGGCUUAAGUGCCAUAACGAGCGCAACCCUUAUCGAUAGUUACCAUCAGGUUAUGCUGGGGACUCUGUCGAGACUGCCGUCGUAAGAUGUGAGGAAGGUGGGGAUGACGUCAAAUUAGCACGGCCCUUACGUCCGGGGCUACACACGUGUUACAAUGGGGGGUACAGAAGGCAGCUACACGGCGACGUGAUGCUAAUCCCGAAAGCCUCUCUCAGUUCGGAUUGGAGUCUGCAACCCGACUCCAUGAAGCUGGAUUCGCUAGUAAUCGCGCAUCAGCCACGGCGCGGUGAAUACGUUCCCG
rnacentral:rRNA from 1 species